rnacentral:lncRNA from 1 species
CCUUUCUGGUCCCAUUCCAAGAGAGAUAGGUGACCUAAGAAGAUUGAAGUUUCUUUACUUAUGGAGGAACAAACUUUCGGGAUCCAUACCUUUAGAGAUUGGGAGGCUAACCGAUCUUAUUGAAUUAAGAUUUUCUGAUAAUAAGUUGGUCGGGCAUAUUCCUGCUUCACUAGGAAACCUAAGCAGUCUAAAUGUUCUCUAUCUUGAUGGAAACCAAUUUUCAGGGUCCAUUCCUCCUCCUCUUGGAAAAUUAGGCAACUUAACAAAAUUGGGCAUCUCACGAAAUAACCUUUCCGGUCCCAUUCCAAGAGAGAUAGGUGACCUAAGAAGAUUGAAGUUUCUUUACUUAUGGAGGAACAAACUUUCAGGAUCCAUACCUUUAGAGAUUGGGAGGCUAACCGAUCUUUUUCAAUUAUAUUUUUCUGAAAAUAAGUUGAUCGGGUGUAUCCCUGCUUCACUAGGAAACCUAAGCAGUCUAAAUGUUCUCUAUCUUGACGAAAACCAAUUUUCAGGGUCCAUUCCUCCUUCUCUUGGAAAAUUAGGCAACUUAAGAAAUUUGAGCAUAGCAGCGAAUAACCUUUCUGGUCUCAUUCCAAGAGAAAUAGGUGACCUAAGAAGAUUGGAGUUUCUUUUCUUAUGGAGGAAUCAACUUUCGGGAUCCAUACCUUCAGAGAUUGGGAGGCUAACAGAUCUUUUUCAAUUAGAUUUUUCUGAAAAUAAGUUGAUCGGGCAUAUCCCUGCUUCACUAGGAAACCUAAGUAGUCUAAAUAUUCUCCAUCUUAGAGGAAACCAAUUUUCAGGGUCCAUUCCUCCUUCUCUUGGAAAAUUAGGCAACUUAAGAAAUUUGAGCAUAGCAGCGAAUAACCUUUCUGGUCCCAUUCCAAGAGAAAUAGGUGACCUAAGAAGAUUGGAGUUUAUUUUCUUAUGGAGGAAUCAACUUUCGGGGUCCAUACCUUCAGAGAUUGGGAGGCUAACUGAUCUUUUUCAAUUAGGAUUUUCUGAUAAUAAGUUGGUCGGGCAUAUCCCUACUUCACUAGGAAACCUAAGCAGUCUAAAUGUUCUCUAUCUUGAUGGAAACCAAAUUUUAGGGUUCAUUCCUCCUUCUCUUGGAAAAUUAGGCAAUUUAAGAAAUUUGAGCAUAGCAACGAAUAACCUUUCUGGUCCCAUUCCAAGAGAGAUAGGUGACCUAAGAAGAUUGAAGUUUCUUUACUUAUAUAUGAACAAACUUUCGGGAUCCAUACCUUCAGAGAUUGGGAG